UAGGGGGGGCGCAAACGUAGUUCGGAAUCACUCGGCGUAAAGCGCGUGUAGGCGGCUUGGCAAGUCGGGUGUGAAAGCCCGGGGCCUAACCCCGGAACUGCAUUCGAAACUGCAUCGCUCGAGUCCCGGAGAGGAUGGUGGAAUUCCCGGUGUAGUGGUGAAAUACGUAGAUAUCGGGAGGAACACCAGCGGCGAAGGCGGCCAUCUGGACGGUGACUGACGCUGAGACGCGAAAGCGUGGGGAGCAAACAGG
rnacentral:rRNA from 1 species